GAUGAACGCUGGCGGCGUGCCUAAUACAUGCAAGUCGAGCGAACAGACCAGGCGCUUGCUCCUCUGACGUUAGCGGCGGACGGGUGAGUAACACGUGUAUAACCUACCUAUAAGACUGGGAUAACUUCGGGAAACCGGCGCUAAUACCGGAUAAUAUAUUGAACCGCAUGGUUCAAUAGUGAAAGACGGUUUUGCUGUCACUUAUAGAUGGAUCCGCGCCGCAUUAGCUAGUUGGUAAGGUAACGGCUUACCACGGCAACGAGGCGUAGACGACCUGAGAGGGUGAUAGGCCACACUGGAACGGAGACACGGUCCAGACUCCUACGGGAGGCAGCAGUAGGGAAUCUUCCGCAAUGGGCGAAAGCCUGACGGAGCAACGCCGCGUGAGUGAUGAAGGUCUUCGGAUCGUAAAACUCUGUUAUUAGGGAAGAACAAAUGUGUAAGUAACUAUGCACGUCUUGACGGUACCUAAUCAGAAAGCCACGGCUAACUACGUG
rnacentral:rRNA from 1 species